rnacentral:rRNA from 1 species
GAUUAACGCUGGCGGCGUGCAUAACACAUGCAAGUCGAACGAUGAAACUUAACUGAUUUCUUCGGAAUGAUUUUAAGUGGAUUAGUGGCGGACGGGUGAGUAACGCGUGAGUAACCUGCCUUGGAGAAGGGGAUAGCCUUUGGAAACGAAGAAUAAUACCCUAUGAUAUGAUAAUAUCUCAUGAUAUUAUCAUCAAAGAUUUAUCGCUCUAAGAUGGACUUGCGUCUGAUUAGUUAGUUGGUGAGGUAACAGCUCACCAAGGCAGCGAUCAGUAGCCGGCUUGAGAGAGUGUACGGCCACAUUGGGACUGAGACACGGCCCAGACUCCUACGGGAGGCAGCAGUGGGGAAUUUUGCACAAUGGGGGAAACCCUGAUGCAGCGACGCCGCGUGAUUUAGAAGGCCUUCGGGUUGUAAAAAUCUUUUGUAUGGGAAGAAAAUGACAGUACCAUACGAAUAAGGACCGGCUAAUUACGUGC